GACGAACGCUGGCGGCGUGCUUAACACAUGCAAGUCGAACGGUAAGGCCCUUCGGGGUACACGAGUGGCGAACGGGUGAGUAACACGUGGGUGAUCUGCCCCGCACUUCGGGAUAAGCCUGGGAAACUGGGUCUAAUACCGGAUAGGACCACUGCCUACAUGGGUGGUGGUGGAAAGCUUUUGCGGUGUGGGAUGGGCCCGCGGCCUAUCAGCUUGUUGGUGGGGUAAUGGCCUACCAAGGCGACGACGGGUAGCCGGCCUGAGAGGGUGACCGGUCACACUGGGACUGAGAUACGGCCCAGACUCCUACGGGAGGCAGCAGUGGGGAAUAUUGCACAAUGGGCGCAAGCCUGAUGCAGCGACGCCGCGUGAGGGAUGACGGCCUUCGGGUUGUAAACCUCUUUCAGCUAUGACGAAGCGCAAGUGACGGUAGUAGCAGAAGAAGGACCGGCCAACUACGUGCCAGCCGCCGCGGUAA
rnacentral:rRNA from 1 species